rnacentral:misc_RNA from 1 species
GAUGAAGAACGUAGCGAAAUGCGAUAAGUAAUGUGAAUUGCAGAAUUCAGUGAAUCAUCGAGUCUUUGAACGCACAUUGCGCCCCCUGGCAUUCCGGGGGGCAUGCCUGUCCGAGCGUCAUUGCUGCCCUUCAAGCCCGGCUUGUGUGUUGGGUCGUCGUCCCCCCCGGGGGACGGGCCCGAAAGGCAGCGGCGGCACCGCGUCCGGUCCUCGAGCGUAUGGGCUUUGUCACCCGCUCGAUUAGGGCCGGCCGGGCGCCAGCCGGCGUCUCCAACCUUCUAUUUUACCAGGUUGACCUCGGAUCAGGUAGGGAUACCCGCUGAACUUAAGCAUAUCAAUAAGCGGAGGA